rnacentral:pre_miRNA from 1 species
AAAGAGUGUAGUUCUACUGUUUAUAUAUAAUAUUUGAUCUUCUGUCUUAUUUAAAACAAAUAUAAUUGUUAUUAUUAUUAUUAUUAUUAUUAUUAGAUGAUAAAACAUGAAUAGUAUAUUAUUUGUGACUUUUUUAAAAUUAUUUCAUAAGUUUUUAAAUAAAACGGACAGUCAAACGUUGAACACGAAAACUCAUAACUACACUUAAA